AAACAAAUAUGUUAUACCGUAGACAGCAGGAGCGAUUACGUCGCUUAAAUAUCCUGCCGAGGUGUUUAUAGACAGAUGAGACGAUCCGUAAGAUUUCCAUUUGUUAUAUAAAGCUCCCAUGUCUGCAUGGGAGCUUUUACUUUAU
rnacentral:sRNA from 1 species